GGUUGAAGAUACUGACACUGCCAAGUAUUAUAACUCUCAAUCAUCUAAUAUGUUUAUUUUAAUGAGUUCAUGUUUAGAACUUUAGAAUAUUUGUUAAGUUUGCUUCUUCACUUCUGCUUUUUAUGGCUUGCAUAAGCUUAUGGGCCUCACUGCUUAACUGCCAAGUGCUGACUGAGGACAUUACAGAUAACUCGUGCAGUGGCGGGUGCACUUGCACAAAUGAGGGAUCAAUUGACCCCUCUUUUUUUCUCAAAUUACUCCUAUGUGCAUAUAUAUAUUUAUUUAAAUUGACCCCUCAGAUUUAAUUAUUGAACCUUCUUUUUUAAUGACAAAUGCAUUUUUUGGUAAAUAGGAAGUCAAUUAACACUCUUUUUAUAUAUAAAAAAAUCUUAACCAUAGAAAAUUUUUUAUAUUUUGACUGUAGAAAAUGUUUUUGCAAGCCCUCUUUUUUUAGUGACAUGCAUUUUUAUAAAUGAGAAGUCAAUUGACACACUUUUUAUUGAAAAAAAAAAAAAUUUAAUCACAGUAAUUUUUUAUAUGUUGACACCAGAAUUUUUUUUUUCUGGAUCUGCCACUACUCAUGCGCUGGAUGGCAACAAAGUAUGAUAGUCUUCUGUUUAUGAAGUUGGAAGUUGCUGAAAAUUAGGCAAAAAUUUCUGUUUAGGGAUUAUCUUUGAAAUCUUUUUCAGUGUGAGAAAUCUUAACUAUGCUUUCAGUGCAUUUUAUCUAUUUUAUUAAUUAUUAACUGAUGAGGAAAAUUUCUGAAACAUGUAACUAUUUCCUAAAAAAAAAAAAAUUCAGAAAAUUGUUUUGAAAAUGAAUUAGAAUGUAUUGUGAUUUUCAAAGGAAGAAACAGCUAAAAUAAGAUAAUAAAAUUGUAAUGUAUAUUUCAGGGUCAGAAAGAAAUGAGAUUUUGUUAAUCUUGAUUUUUCUCCUAUAAUGUGUUCAGGUACAAGCCAUCUAUUUUUAUUGUUCAACUCCUUAAUAAUAUUUAUAAAACCAAAAAUUCUGCUCUCCCAUUAUAUAUUUUCCCUCUCUCUCUCUCUUCUUUUCCCCUAAUAUUCCAUGUUAAUUGAUUGUAAUAUACAAUCCAGAGUUCCAAACCAUUUAAUGUGGCUAUGACACGCCCUUUUUAAGCCCGUUUUAUAUGUCAUGUAUGUCAGGUGAUUGUUCUCUUUUUUUUUUUUUUU
rnacentral:misc_RNA from 1 species